rnacentral:rRNA from 1 species
UACGAAGGGGGCUAGCGUUGUUCGGAAUCACUGGGCGUAAAGCGCACGUAGGCGGAUCGAUAAGUCGGGGGUGAAAUCCCAGGGCUCAACCCUGGAACUGCCUUCGAUACUGGCGAUCUUCGAGUCCGGGAGAGGUGAGUGGAACUCCGAGUGUAGAGGUGAAAUUCGUAGAUAUUCGGAAGAACACCAGUGGCGAAGGCGGCUCACUGGCCCGGUACUGACGCUGAGGUGCGAAAGCGUGGGGAGCAAACAGG